UACGUAGGGUGCAAGCGUUGUCCGGAAUUAUUGGGCGUAAAGAGCUCGUAGGCGGUUUGUCGCGUCUGCUGUGAAAACUGGAGGCUCAACCUCCAGCCUGCAGUGGGUACGGGCAGACUAGAGUGCGGUAGGGGAGAUUGGAAUUCCUGGUGUAGCGGUGGAAUGCGCAGAUAUCAGGAGGAACACCGAUGGCGAAGGCAGAUCUCUGGGCCGUAACUGACGCCGAGGAGCGAAAGCAUGGGGAGCGAACAGG
rnacentral:rRNA from 1 species